rnacentral:lncRNA from 1 species
UUUUGAUUUGAAGGUUGUUUCUGAGUCUGCCCUAAACACUCCUUGCUGUUGGCAUGAUUAGUCAUAACAGCUUCCAUUCUGUUGGUCAUGAUGAGUCACUAAACAGCUUCCAUUCUGUUGGGCAUGAUGAGUCACUAAACAGCUUCCAUUCUGUUGGGCAUGAUGAGUCAAAAAACGUUUCCAUUCUGUUGGUCAUGAGAGUCCUAAACAGCUUCCAUCUGUUGUCAUGGAUGAGUCACUAA